GAUGAAGAACGUAGUGAAAUGCGAUAAGUAAUGUGAAUUGCAGAAUUCAGUGAAUCAUCGAAUCUUUGAACGCACAUUGCGCCCGCCAGCAUUCUGGCGGGCAUGCCUGUUCGAGCGUCAUUUCAACCCUCGAGCCCCCCCGGGGGCCUCGGUGUUGGGGGACGGCACACCAGCCGCCCCCGAAAUGCAGUGGCUACCCCGCCGCAGCCUCCCCUGCGUAGUAGCACACACCUCGCACCGGAGCGCGGAGGCGGUCACGCCGUAAAACGCCCAACUUUCUUAGAGUUGACCUCGGAUCAGGUAGGAAUACCCGCUGAACUUAAGCAUAUCAAUAAGCGGAGGA
rnacentral:misc_RNA from 1 species